CAAAGUAUACAGCAGAGUUAUAGACACGGGCUCCAGUCCUCAGCAGGCCAUACUGGUCAUGGCCACAAAAGCAGAGCUUCCUUUGUGGAUGAUGAUAAAGCAAGAUUCUAGGAAGGAAACCAUUACUCUAGAUCCAGUAGAUGAAGCCACGGCAAAUCUCCUAUUUCAGGACAGCCAGCUGUUUCAACUUUUCUGUCAGGGAAUCGUGGCCUCGGCAACCGUAUCUGAUGCACAGAUAGUCUCCAGGCGGCCCGCAACACGGCCAUCUGUGCUGCUGGCAGGGAAGCCAUCCACAGUUCUACUUAAUGAGCACGAACUACUUUGAUAGCAAAAACAGAAAAGCAAAACAACCAAAGCCGAGGUUGGUGAACCAAGGCCAAGCAUGCAGCUCAUCUCUCAGUUCAUCUUCCAGGAAGCCUGCGCGAGCUGCUGCCGCACCGUCUUGGGCUCAGACAUGUGGUCAUCUGUUUUGAAGCCUUCACGCAGUCAGCUCUGGGAAAGAGAUGCGGAUGCCCCACAGCCCUCUUACUUUAGUUAACCCAGAUGCACCCGGGCCCUUUGCAGCUCUGCUGUCACUCCAAGGUCCUCUUCCGGCCAGACUCAGCACUUGGUCCCAUCUCUCAGACUCUCUCCUCCAAAACAAAUGAACAGAUCCAAAUCUAUAAGCCGUCUCAAAUAAUGUCGACUUUUCUUUGAGAAAGUUAGGCAAGUUCUGCCCCGCCUGUGUGGCUCGGUGGUUUGAGCGUCGACCUGUGAACCACGAGAUUACAACUUGAUUCCCGUUCAAGGCACAUGCACAGGUUGUGGGUUCAAUCCCUAGUGGGGGCAUGCAGUGAUUCUCAUCAUUGAUGUUUCUAUCUCUUUCCCUCUCCCUUCCUCUCUGAAAUCAAUUAUAUAUAUAUAAAGUUAGGCAAGUUCCUCAUAAGACAUAGUGAAACUUCUCCCAGCAUACCUGUAUAUGCUUUGCUUUUUUCAAAAUCCCUCUCCUAGCAGCUGCUUCAUCCCCUUUUUGCCCAAAUUGCCUCCUGGGAACGCUUGUGCCUGACACUGUUCCCUUCUUCCUCAGCUGGCUCACGCCACCCAGUGAAAAGAAGCUGUUUGUCAACCAAAUGUGAGCCACCCCAUCUUUUUGAGGCAUGAGCCAAGGCCUAUAGUUCAGUUGAAUUAAGUUUAAUGGCUCCUGGAAGCUAGAUAAAACUUACAUUCCGUUUAAUACCCAAAGCAAUACCGAUGGGAAAACUAGUACAGGGUUUGUGCAGAACAUGGCCAUAAGGAUGAAUUCUUUACUCGGUGCCCGGGAACCACUCUCAGCCAAAGUAGGGCAGUUUGGAGAGUGGCAUGAAUGCGAGGUUGUUCAGCCUGUGGGCUCACCUGGACCUCUGAGCUAGGAAGCUUGAAGCCUUCUCCCCCAGGAGGUGGCAGGCUUGGGUGUGGAGUGUCACUGGCCCCAAGACAAGAGCACAACUGGAGACCCACGCACUGUGUGUCUCUAUAUUAUGAAGUUCUACAUCAGGCUAACAAGUAAUUAAAUAAAAUAUGUUCUGACCUCCUACCUUGACAAAAAUACCUUCAGGACAACCUGCAAGUCCAGGUUUAAAUGGGGGAUUCUUGGAUUCCUUGGAGUUUCUUGCCCCUUUCAGCAGGGAUCCCCUGCAUAUCCAUAUGGAACCCUCAGCUCACACAUCCAAGUCCUUCCCUGCCCCCCAACACCUACUCUUGGUUGACUUGUUAAGCCUGGGGUGCAACAUACUAACACCGGAGUCACCUGAGUCACCCUUGGAAGGCAUGGCCUGGACAAGGCCUGCUCUGUCCGGGGAGCAAGUGUGGGGAUGUCUGGGCAGAGAAUUCUGGGGUCCCAUGCAUUGUCCAAAAAAAGGGAUGCCAGCUUGUUUGCUUCUAACUCAUAAUCUCUGCAGGUCCUCCCCCAGAUGCUUUAGUCAAGAUCACUGUGUAUUAACUGCCAGCACGGCGGGGAGGCAGGGGGAAGGGCGGAGUUCAUGACUUCUAAAGGUUGUCAUGCCACCUCAGUCUCCCCGCUGAACAGGGUGAUGGGGGCGCUCAGUGGUCCACGGUCCACCUCUCACCCCUCGGUGCCCUGAGGCCAGAUUUGGACAUGAAGCACAGGGUCCCUCUGCUCCUCGCAGCUUCCUGCACUAUCGGGGUGAGGACCAAAGGGGAGAUCUUUAAAGGCAGAGCAUGUGAGCAGAAAACUUUAGUUUCUCUGAUUAGAUAACCUUUCCUGGUACCUAGGCUGGGGGCAGAGCGGGAGCAUGAGGAGGGUCAUUGAAGAUGGCUGAGGACUGGAAAAGGGCCACCGUGCAUUCCACCUCCGCACCUGUAGCUCAGGUGCAGUCAGUUAGGUUGGGAGGCUGGGAGACGACCUGUAUCACCCCAAAACCUUCUGACCCUCGUCAGAUGGCGUGAGCCCAACCCAAAAGCAGGCAGGGCAGUUCUGCAGCCAUAGUUCAGAACCGCAAGGAAUGUGGGUGGGGCCCAGAAGCUGGGCAGAUGCCCUGGGGUCCAUGUGCUCCUGCAUCUCUUCUCUCCCCUGACUCAG